GCGCAGACACGGGACAAAACCCUAGAUUAGAAACCACAGAUCGAUCGAAGAAUCGCCAAGCUCCACUGCCGUAACAGCGGUGCCGGCAUAACAUGGCAACCAGAGCUGCGUCUCUUGCCCUCUGCGCCCUCCUUGCGCUCUCCCUAGUGUCUCUCGCGGUCUCUCGUGCGGAUCCUGAAGGGGUGGCGGUGCAAGGGUUCCCGUGUGACAACGUGGUCACCAUCCGCAUGCCGCACGACGGCAUCUGCCAGCGGGACUAUUGCGGGGGGCUGUGCGUGCAGCAGUUCAUGUGGAAGUACCCGGGCAUCAAGGCCGUCGUAGGCGACUGCACGGGGGAGAACACCCACGAAUGCGUCUGCUCUUUCCUUUGUUGAUUGAAUGAGGGUUGUAGCCCAUGUUGUCAUGUUGUUUGGCUCUGAGGAAAUAAAACUUGCUGCACAUUGUUUUC